rnacentral:rRNA from 1 species
GACGAACGCUGGCGGCGUGCUUAACACAUGCAAGUCGAACGAAGAGCGAUGGAAGCUUGCUUCUAUCAAUCUUAGUGGCGAACGGGUGAGUAACGCGUAAUCAACCUGCCCUUCAGAGGGGGACAACAGUUGGAAACGACUGCUAAUACCGCAUACGAUCUAAUCUCGGCAUCGAGGAUAGAUGAAAGGUGGCCUCUACAUGUAAGCUAUCACUGAAGGAGGGGAUUGCGUCUGAUUAGCUAGUUGAAGGGGUAACGGCCCACCAAGGCGAUGAUCAGUAGCCGGUCUGAGAGGAUGAACGGCCACAUUGGGACUGAGACACGGCCCAGACUCCUACGGGAGGCAGCAGUGGGGAAUCUUCCGCAAUGGACGAAAGUCUGACGGAGCAACGCCGCGUGAGUGAUGACGGCCUUCGGGUUGUAAAGCUCUGUUAAUCGGGACGAAAGGCCUUCUUGCGAAUAGUGAGAAGGAUUGACGGUACCGGAAUAGAAAGCCACGGCUAACUACGUG